rnacentral:rRNA from 1 species
UACGUGGGGGGCGAGCGUUGUCCGGAAUCACUGGGCGUAAAGAGCGCGUAGGCGGCUUAUCAAGUCGGGUGUGAAAUCUCCAGGGCUCAACCCGGAAACUGCACCCGAUACUGAUGAGCUUGAGAGAUGAAGGGGCAAGUGGAAUUCCCGGUGUAGCGGUGAAAUGCAUUGAUAUCGGGAGGAACACCCGUAGCGAAGGCGGCUUGCUGGGCAUCUUCUGACGCUGAGGCGCGAAAGCAGGGGGA